rnacentral:rRNA from 1 species
GGACGAACGCUGGCGGCGUGCCUAACACAUGCAAGUCGAACGGGGAUUUGUUUCGGCAGAAUCCUAGUGGCGAACGGGUGAGUAACGCGUAGGCAACCUGCCCUCCGGCCGGGGACAACACUCCGAAAGGGGUGCUAAUACCGGAUACGAAGUCUGUGCCGCAUGGUACGGAUUUGAAAGAUGGCCUCUGUUUACAAGCUAUCGCCGGGGGAUGGGCCUGCGUCCGAUUAGCUGGUUGGUGGGGUAACGGCCUACCAAGGCGACGAUCGGUAGCCGGUCUGAGAGGAUGAACGGCCACAUUGGGACUGAGACACGGCCCAGACUCCUACGGGAGGCAGCAGUGGGGAAUCUUCCGCAAUGGGCGCAAGCCUGACGGAGCAACGCCGCGUGAGUGAGGAAGUUCUUCGGAACGUAAAGCUCUGUUGUUCCUGACGAACCUCCCUUCUAUCAACAACGGAAGGGACUGACGGUAGGGAACGAGGAAGCCACGGCUAACUACGUGCCAGCCGCCGC